AGAUAUCUUGGUGUUUGAUGCUGAUCUUGCAGAGCGAUAGCGUGUGUUCGAGGAAGAAUUUUCAAUCUACAUUGAUGCUGCUUAUCCGAACGCAGCACCCGCUCUUCGUGCCUCGAUUCUCCUUAAAUUAGCAGGCACUGAAGCUGCACGACGUGCCAGAAGAUUUCACUAUGCACCGGCUGGUGACACUAUUCUACAUAAG